GUUCUUUUGAGAUUAAUUUAAGGUCUAACCUGCCCAGUGAAUUUAAAUAAAUGUAAACGGCUGCAGUAUACUGACUGUACAAAGGUAGCAUAAUAAAUAGUUUUUUAAUUGAAAACUUGUAUGAAUGGUUGAAUGAGAUGCAAACUUUUUUAAUUUAAUUAAAUUAAUUUUACUUUUUAUUCAGAAGGAUAAAAUAUAUUUAAAAGACGAGAAGACCCUAUAGAGUUUUAUAUUUAUUUAAAUUUUUUUAUUAUAAGGAUUAGGGAAAACAAAUUUAUUUAAUUAUUUUGUUGGGGUGACAAGAAAAUAUAGAAAACUUUUUUAAAAGUAUAAUUUUAAAUUAAUUUUAAUUCAUUAAUAUAUGAAAAUUUGAUCCUUUAAUAAAGAUUAUAAAGUUAAAUUACCUUAGGGAUAACAGCGUAAUAAUAUUUUAAAGUUCUAAUUUACAGUAAUUUUUGCGACCUCGAUGUUGGAUUAAGAAAAUUAUUAGGGGCAGCAGUUUAAAUAAUAAGUCUGUUCGACUUUUAAAUUCUU
rnacentral:rRNA from 1 species